CGGCAGGGCGGAGCAGUAGACGUCGUCUUAGGGGGACAGGAAUGGGAACAACAAUGGGGCUCCAAGCUACGGGGAAGUUGCUCCUCUUGUGCUAGCAUGUUUGACAAAUAUGGGCGUGCAUACAAAGCGCAAGAGGUGAAUGAUUCUUUGGAUUCUGUCCACUAGAGUGCACUAAAUGAAGAAUUGGUGACGGGCACAACCAGGGAAGAUGAUGCCGGGGACUCAAAGACCUCUGGAAGCAAUGUUGAAGAUGUUGCUCCAUCUUCGGAGAAAGAUUUGAUUCAUUUCAUGGAAACUGGCAUUGAUGGACACUUAAUGUUUGGUUUUUUCAUUUGUAUUGACAAACAAUGUAAAAUUUAAGUAUGUAUAUAUGGAUAACUAUGUGAAACUA